GGAUCUAUUUAAACCUCAAGCCCUAAGGAUUGAGAGAAGAGCCAAGAGAAUCCAUGCCCCACCUAGCUGUGUGCCCUCUCUCCUCAUGCCCUUUCUCUCUCACAUCCUCUCUCACGUAUGCACGCAAGAAGGAGAAAAAGGAGGCAUCCUUCUUUCUUACACACCAAGAGAGAGAAAUUGUUCCCUCUCUUCUUCCUUUCAUCUGGAUCAAAAGUUGGUUCGAGUUUGAGGGUUGAAUCCAAGAUUUUGUGUGCUAAUUUUUUUUUAAAAAAAAAUAUCAAAAUUAGAAGAGCAUCCCAGACCAUUUCUAUAUGGAUAUCUGUAGAGGUCGGAUACGUAUGCGGCUUCAAAGGAACCUGUGAAGACAUCCACGAUCAUUGAAUCAUGGUGA
rnacentral:lncRNA from 1 species